GUCAAAUGACUCUUUCCUUCUGUUACUCAGGUCUGCUGAGGAGGAGAGGAAGUCAAAUGACUCUUUCCUUCUGUUACUCAGGUCUGCUGAGGAGGAGAGGAAGUCAAAUGACUCUUUCCUUCUGUUACUCAGGUCUGCUGAGGAGGAGAGGAAGUCAAAUGACUCUUUCCUUCUGUUACUCAGGUCUGCUGAGGAGGAGAGGAAGUCAAAUGACUCUUUCCUUCUGUUACUCAGGUCUGCUGAGGAGGGGAGGAAGUCAGACGACUCUUUCCUUCUGUUACUCAGGUCUGCUGAGGAGGGGAGGAAGUCAGACGACUCUUUCCUUCUGUUACUCAGGUCUGCUGAGGAGGGGAGGAAGUCAGACGACUCUUUCCUUCUGUUACUCAGGUCUGCUGAGGAGGAGAGGAAGUCAGACGACUCUUUCCUUCUGUUACUCAGGUCUGCUGAGGAGG